rnacentral:rRNA from 1 species
UACGUAGGGAGCAAGCGUUGUUCGGAUUUACUGGGCGUAAAGGGCGCGUAGGCGGCAGAUUAAGUCAGCUGUGAAAUCUCCGAGCUUAACUCGGAACUGUCAGCUGAUACUGUUUUGCUAGAGUGCGGAAGGGGCAAUCGGAAUUCCUGGUGUAGCGGUGAAAUGCGUAGAUAUCAGGAGGAACACCGGUGGUGUAAACGGCUCUCUGGACCGCUACUGACGCUGAGGCACGAAAGCCAGGGGAGCGAACGGG